GCGUUAUCCGGAAUUAUUGGGCGUAAAGAGCUCGUAGGCGGUUUGUCGCGUCUGCUGUGAAAGCCCGGGGCUCAACCCCGGGUCUGCAGUGGGUACGGGCAGACUAGAGUGCAGUAGGGGAGACUGGAAUUCCUGGUGUAGCGGUGAAAUGCGCAGAUAUCAGGAGGAACACCGAUGGCGAAGGCAGGUCUCUGGGCUGUAACUGACGCUGAGGAGCGAAAGCAUGGGGAGCGAACAGGAUUAGAUACCCUGGUAGUCCAUGCCGUAAACGUUGGGCACUAGGUGUGGGGGACAUUCCACGUUUUCCGCGCCGUAGCUAACGCAUUAAGUGCCCCGCCUGGGGAGUACGGCCGCAAGGCUAAAACUCAAAGGAAUUGACGGGGGCCCGCACAAGCGGCGGAGCAUGCGGAUUAAUUCGAUGCAACGCGAAGAACCUUACCAAGGCUUGACAUGAACCGGAAAGGCCUGGAAACAGGUCCCCCACUUGUGGCCGGUUUACAGGUGGUGCAUGGUUGUCGUCAGCUCGUGUCGUGAGAUGUUGGGUUAAGUCCCGCAACGAGCGCAACCCUCGUUCUAUGUUGCCAGCGGGUUAUGCCGGGGACUCAUAGGAGACUGCCGGGGUCAACUCGGAGGAAGGUGGGGACGACGUCAAAUCAUCAUGCCCCUUAUGUCUUGGGCUUCACGCAUGCUACAAUGGCCGGUACAAAGGGUUGCGAUACUGUGAGGUGGAGCUAAUCCCAAAAAGCCGGUCUCAGUUCGGAUUGAGGUCUGCAACUCGACCUCAUGAAGUUGGAGUCGCUAGUAAUCGCAGAUCAGCAACGCUGCGGUGAAUACGUUCCCGGGCCUUGUACACACCGCCCGUCAAGUCACGAAAGUUGGUAACACCCGGAAACGCGGUGGCCAUGAACCCCUUGUGGGGAGAGAGCCG
rnacentral:rRNA from 1 species